GACUCUCGGCAACGGAUAUCUCGGCUCUCGCAUCGAUGAAGAACGUAGCGAAAUGCGAUACCUGGUGUGAAUUGCAGAAUCCCGCGAACCAUCUAGUCUUUGAACGCAAGUUGCGCCGAGGCCGUCCGCCGAGGGCACGCCUGCCUGGGCGUCA
rnacentral:rRNA from 1 species